rnacentral:lncRNA from 1 species
UACCUCGGGCGCUUGGCCCGCCCGGCUUCUCCCGCCGCUUUGUUCCCCGAGCCCUGAGACCAGUGCACCGCUGCUGCCUGAGGCCCAAGGGAAUGCUGGCUGCUCUCUGGGUGGGCACUGGUGUUCCACAGCCAAGCCGGGAAGAUUGGUGUGCCCAGUCCCAGCCCAUCCUGGAGCUGUCGGAAGCCACAAGCUGAUAUCCAUCCAGAUUUCCAUGUAGCCUUCACCCCCUCAAAGAUUAGCUUUCCUUCGUGUGGUGGCAGUUCACGGAGCACCUUUGGGAGUAUCCCUCAGUACCUGACGAGGAGCCCACUGCCUGGGACACCUGACUUGCUCCCCCGGAACCGGGAGCCCUCCAAGGGGCUGUGGCAUGGCGCCCUGACGCCCCAGCUUGGACCCGUUGCCUGCCUUUGCCCUGGACUCCUGAGUGUAGAGCUCAGCCCAGGAGCCAGUAUGGGUCGUGAACAGGACCUGAUCCUCGCCGUCAAGAAUGGAGAUGUGACCGGUGUGCAGAAACUGGUGGCGAAGGU